rnacentral:rRNA from 1 species
UACGAAGGGUGCAAGCGUUACUCGGAAUUACUGGGCGUAAAGCGUGCGUAGGUGGUGAGUUAAGUCUGUCGUGAAAGCCCCGGGCUCAACCUGGGAAUGGCGAUGGAUACUGGCUCGCUAGAGUGCGGUAGAGGAGAGUGGAAUUCCCGGUGUAGCAGUGAAAUGCGUAGAGAUCGGGAGGAACAUCAGUUGCGAAGGCGGCUCUCUGGACCAGCACUGACACUGAGGCACGAAAGCGUGGGGAGCAAACAGGA